AUCAUUAAGCGGAGGAAAAGAAACUAACAAGGAUUCCCCUAGUAACGGCGAGUGAAGCGGGAACAGCCCAGCGCUGAAUCCCUCGCCUGCGAGGCGACGGGAACUGUGGCGUUUAGGAGAGUCUCUGCAUUGACUUCGGGCGUCCGAGUCCUCCUGAUCGGGGCUUCACCCAGAGCGGGUGUCAGGCCUCUACGGCCCCGUCCGUCAUUGCUCUGAGCCUCCUUGGAGUCGGGUUGUUUGGGAAUGCAGCCCAAAGUGGGUGGUAAACUCCAUCUAAGGCUAAAUACCGACACGAGUCCGAUAGCGGACAAGUACCGUGAGGGAAAGUU
rnacentral:rRNA from 1 species